UGAACUCCUAGCUCAACUGGUAGAGCAUUCGACUCUUACUCAACAGGUCCAGGGUUCGAACCCCUGAGAGUCCAU
rnacentral:tRNA from 1 species